AUCCCGUUCUUCAAUGAAGACGGGGAUGGGGAAUCCUAGAAUUGAAGAUGUGUAUACACACAGGAAUGGGGAAAAAAAAAAAAGCUUAAUGGGGAUGGGGAUGGCAUACCCACUCCCAAUUUGACCCAUUUCCAUCCCUAAUAUGAGUGCAAAAAAAUGCAAAUUAAGAAUACCAAAAAAAAAAAAAGUAUAAAGCAAAAACAUAGAAUUGCAGGUUUGCACUUAUGCCACUUCUUCUACUCAUCUCUCUUCCCACUCCCACAUUUGACGUUAGGAGUAUUUUUGUUAAACGGUAUUUUUUUAUGAGAUAUUUAGUGAUAUACCCAUUUCUAGCACUAAUAUUAUAAAUAAACCCUACACAAUUGAAUUCCUAUAAAC
rnacentral:lncRNA from 1 species